rnacentral:miRNA from 1 species
AAAUUAUGUAUACAUGUAUACACAUAUGUAUGCAUAAUUUUACUUAAAUUAUAUAUCUAUUUAUAUAGAUAGA